rnacentral:rRNA from 1 species
AACGAACGCUGGCGGCAUGCCUAACACAUGCAAGUCGAACGAGACCUUCGGGUCUGGUGGCGCACGGGUGCGUAACGCGUGGGAACCUGCCCUUAGGUUCGGAAUAACUCCCCGAAAGGGGUGCUAAUACCGGAUAAAGUCUUCGGACCAAAGAUUUAUCGCCUUUGGAUGGGCCCGCGUUGGAUUAGUUAGUUGGUAGGGUAAAAGCCUACCAAGGCGACGAUCGAUAGCUGGUCUGAGAGGAUGAUCAGCCACACUGGUACUGAGACACGGCCCAGACUCCUACGGGAGGCAGCAGUGGGGAAUAUUGGACAAUGGGCGAAAGCCUGAUCCAGCAAGGCCGCGUGAGUGAUGAAGGCCUUAGGGUUGUAAAGCUCUUUUACCCGGGAGGAUAAUGACAGUACCGGGAGAAUAAGCACCGGCUAACUCCGUG